rnacentral:rRNA from 1 species
AACGAACGCUGGCGGCAUGCCUAACACAUGCAAGUCGAACGAGACCUUCGGGUCUAGUUGCGCACGGGUGCGUAACGCGUGGGAACCUGCCCUUAGGUUCGGAAUAACUCCCCUAAAGGGGUGCUAAUACCGGAUAAUGUCUUCGGACCAAAGAUUUAUCGCCUUUGGAUGGGCCCGCGUUGGAUUAGCUAGUUGGUAGGGUAAAAGCCUACCAAGGCGACGAUCCAUAGCUGGUCUGAGAGGAUGAUCAGCCACACUGGGACUGAGACACGGACCAGAAUCCUACGGGAGGCAGCAGUGGGGAAUAUUGGACAAGGGGCGAAAGCCUGAUAAAGCAAUGCCGCGUGAGUGAUGAAGGCCUUAGGGUUGUAAAGCUCUUUUACCCGGGAUGAUAAUGACAGUACCGGGAGAAUAAGCUCCGGCUAACUCCGUG